rnacentral:tRNA from 1 species
GAAAUAUAUUAUUUAAAAAUAAGCUUCUAACUUAAUUUUUUAGCAGUGUAAUUCUGUUAAUAUUUCU